GCCCCCCCCGGCCGCGGGGCUCCGCCGCGCCCCCCCGGCCGCCGCCCGGCUCAGGACACCGCUGUCCGUCCAUCCGUCCGUCCGUCCGUCGGUUCGCCCCCCCCCACACGCGUCCGCUUCCGCACCGUGUACGGGAGCAGUGGCUCGGUACGGUGGGAGGCUGUCAGCUCCCAAACCCGGGUCUCAGGAGCCCGGGAUGCGCUUAACAAGCCCCUAAAUUGCGUUUUAAAGCUUUUCCCGGCGGUGGCGGCUGCAAAGCCGGUUGGAACGGAAGACGCAGCUCAAGCAAGGGAAAGGUGGCCAAGAGGCAUCCCGUUACUCAAGGGCCGGCUCUUCUGGAAAAGGGUCGGGCAUUGUGCAAAUGUCGCCGAACUGCAAGGGCUUGCAUCGAGAGUUUGUGUAGUCGCUGAUAAGUAAAGACAAGAGAAGAGCCAAAAUAAUUACAAUGAUGUUUCCCACUCCCGUUACGUUUCUCCCUGAGAUUAAAAUUCUGACAAAUUGUCCUGAGCUUCUAAAGUUUUCAAAGAAAAAAUUAAUCAUGCUUUUUCAAAGAAAAAUGAAUAAAGUAAAAGGUGGACAUGCAAAAUGAAAAAGUACAUGGAGACUCCACACCAGGAGUACGAACAGUCGCAGAACUACUUGCUGCAGGAUGUGCGCACACCGAAGUGUGGGUGGGCUGGGUAAUGACUGGGUGAGUGAAUGGCAAAAAAAUACUUGAGGGCAGUGGAGUACAAAGGCAGUGUGCCUGACCCAGAAUGUUCCUGAACCACGAACUCCCGGGAGCCAGGGGUGUUUUGGGGGCGAAUCACUGAACAGUUGUCUAUUCCUGCUGUCCGCCUUAGAAGGGACUGUUAGCUGUUGCUGGUAACCCCAUAUGCUGGGCUACACGGACCCGGGGCUGAGAGGUCUUCAUUCUGAUACUGCCUGUCUGAGUGGUGUGGUACUGGGUCUGUGCUCACAGAAUUUAACCGACUCACAAAGCCCCAGGUACUGCUGCUUGGUGGCUAGAAGAAAAGAAGAGAGAGAGCCGAUUGGAUUUUGUAACAUAAUAUGAAGCAUGACGCUGCCAAAUGGCUCGGUUCCAUGUAAAAGUAGCACCAGGUGAGCAGGCUCUCAUCAGCCUCCUCACCAUGCCAGCAUUCGGACCAGGGUCCUGCUGCGGGGUGGUGAGAAAUGCAGAAAGACACAGACUGCCGGACCCUUGGGCGAUGCAGGCAUAAGGGCAGAGCAGGCACGAUGCGCUGGCUUGCCUGUAUGAGGCAGGUCACCACCUGAUGUUUAAUGGACUGCUGGCACGGCAGAGGCCACAGGCUGAGAAACACUUGACAGUGACCAUUACUGCAGAUGAGAUGCUGGGUCAGGCAGGACUUUGAUUGGACCAAAAUGGCAAUUCAGAUGUUCUCAAGACAAUUUGAGAACGGAAGAAAAACAGGCUUCCAGGCCGUAUGCCAUCAUUUACCAGCAUGGCUCAGCAUCCCGACAGUUCCGUGGGGCCGACUUGUAAGAAAUGUGGAAUAACUGAGAUGAACAACUGAGAUGCUGAAUUCAUUUCACAAAGCAAAAUAUUUGGACUGCUAGAAAAAGAAAAAAAAAAAAGGAACUGGCGUGGGAGUAAGUGGGGAACUCCGUAUAGAAACAGGAAGUAUCGUGUGGCUGAUAGGAAAUGGGUGCAAAGCAUCUGUUUUGGUAGUAUUUUCGCUUGUUUUGGGGGUAUUUCCAUAGUGAACUGGAAAUUGGCCUUGUGUGUAGGUAUUACUUCACUGAUGAGCGAAAGGAAGGCACUAAUUUGGAGCACAGCACAGCAGCUGUCAGCAUUACUGCACAGCAACACCGCACAACAGCUGAAGGCCACUCGUGUAAAACACAACAUCCCACUGAGGCUGUGGAUGACUGUAGAGCUGCUCUGACCUGCCAUAAAGUGUAAACAGCCCUUUGACUUCUAUAAAAACAGAAAGCUGUCUUCCAGGCUGCCUUUUCUGACUAGGAUCACUUCUGCCUCCAGAAAUGCUGGGAUACAACCCCAUCGACACUACAAAAACUACAAGGCAGCAAGAAUCACAAAAUGGUGAAGGCUGGAAGGGCCCUCUGGAGGCCAUCUUGACCCCAACCCCUGGUCAGGCAGGGUCACCCAGAGCAGGUUGCCCAGGACCAUGUCCAGGCAGCUUUUGAAGAUCUCCAAGGAGGAGACUCCACAGCCUCUCUGGGCAACCUGUGCCAGUGCUCCAUCACCUGUACAGUACAGAGGUGCUUCCUGAUGUUCAGACAGAACCUUCUGUGUUCCAGUUUUUGUCCACGGCUUCUUGUCCUGGCACUAGGCAUCACUAAAAAGAGCCUGGCUCCAUCUUCAUUGCUCUUCCCUUCAGGUAUUUAUAUACGUUGAUGAGAUCCUCCCUGAACCUUCUCUUCUCCAGGCUGAACAGUUCCAGGUCUCAGUCUCUCCUCAUAGGAGAGAUGCUCCAGUCCCUUCAUCAUCUUCAUAGCACUGUGUUGGACUCCUUCCAGAAUGUCCAUGUCUCUUGUUCUAUGGAGCUCAGAAGUGGGCACAGCACACCAGGUGUGGCCUCACCAGUGCUGAACAGAAAGGAAGGAUCAACUCCCUUGACCUGCUGGCAACACUGCUUGAUACAGCCUAGGAUAACAGUGCCCUGCUUUGCUACAAGGACACAUUGCUGGCUCAUGUUCAACUUGGUCCUUUUCUGACAAACUGCCUUCCAGAUGGGCGGCCCCCAGCUCCUCCUUGGAGUGAUCUUUUUUUCCUUAAUCUUUUCCUGCAUUUCACUUUGUUUACUCCCUCAGACCCUUCUUUCUUCUUCACUGUUCCUGUUUGAAGACAGCACUCUGAAAGCAACAUCUUCAGCUACAGUCACCUUCAAAGGAACAUCAUCAGCUCAAAGUCAUCUUCAAAAUUGUUUAAAGUGAAAGAGAUCACUUUAACAUAUUUUUAUUGCAUAAGGUAGAGUCAAAUAUAAUUAAAAAAUUGCCUCCAGCCAAGAAGGAUGUUAAGAAACUGGAGAGAGCCUAGUGGAGGGCUACCAGAAUGGUCAGGGGGUCUAUUUACAAAACCAUUGAGAACAGGCUGAAGAGCUGGGUUUUGUAAGAGCAGGAUUUGUUUAUUCUGAUAAAAAGGAGAUCAAAGGCAGUUGAAAGCAGCCUAGCCCUACCAGUACUUGAAGAGGAGCUACAUUGACACCAAAAUUUUCUCAGUGGUAACAGGAGGUGCAAAAGGGGGCAAUGGCAGCAAUAUCAGUGUUCGGUCUAGACAUUAUGAGACAGAAUACCCAUCUGAGGGUAUUGCAGCCCUUGAACAGGCUUCUUUAAGAGAGGGAAAAAUCCAUGUCCCCAGAAAUUUCUAAACCUCAGCUAGGCAAAGCCACACUGACCUGCUCCACUGCUGGUCAUAGGCUGGCCUUGGGAAGGGAUGGGAUGGGAUGGGAUGGGAUGGUCCCUCUAAAAAUCACUGUAACACUGCAAAAUGAGGUUCUUAUCCUCUUAAAACACGUAGUGUAGGGUCUGGCAUGCUCUCCAUUAGUUAGCCAGUCCUUUCUGAACUACAGGUGGGUUUUUUGUCUGGAAGAAGAGAAAUUUUAUUUUCUUUUGAAGGGAGGGGUAAUAUAAACUAACCUAAACAGUUUCAGUAAUUCUGGGAUAAGUGGAAUACUUGUGAAUACUUUUCUUUCUUUGAAUUGAAUGUAUUUCAUGAAGGCAGUGUCCCCUUGGUCUUCAUUUCCCAUCAAAACUCUAUAUUCUUGUGUUUGCUGAAAGAUGUUCAGGCACAGAGUAAUGCUGACAUUCUAGCAAAUAUGCUUCCAGCAGAGCAGAAUCUGUAGUUUCGGUGGUUAAAACUGCAUUGCAAUUCUGAUACAUCUGUAACGUAGCAACAGAUGUAAGAGGAAAAAGUUUGUGUGAACAGAGAAGUAUCUGUCCUUCAGUCAGGCUGCUCCUGAGCUGCAGAGUGAUUCUAAAUGUAGUAUUACAGAUGGCAUUAUACUUCAUCUUAAAGGAUAUGUAUAGAUCUCAGGGCAUGGUAGGUCACCCUGUAUUAGAACUUGCAUGAUCUCAGAUCUAUAAACCAGUGUCUUCAUUUUUAGGUAGGCAAGUAGAGUCCUUAGUUUUAGUGGGAUGAUUUACAUCCACGUGAUUAUGCAUACGUGUGUUUAUAUAAGUUCUUUAUUUGUUGAUUCAAUAUUUAUGAUUUUUCUGCAAGUUAUUCUCAUGAAAUCUUUGCUCAAAUAACAGUUUUGUUUGUUUUGUUUUGUUUUCUGGGAUUGUCCACAGGCACCCAAUGCCUUUUGUGGAGAGGUGUUUCUUUCACAGCUUCCAAUUCCUUCUCAGGAAUAAAUUCACUUAUCUUAACUUGCAUGUCUUAAAUACUUUUUUUUAGAACAUAGGCUGUAAGCCACAAUCUUGUAUUUGCUGCAAUUACUUUUAACAUACUUGCAUACCUCAUUUUUUGUGCAACUAUAUUAAAAGCAGCAACAAUUUUCCAUCUGUUUUAAUUUGCAGCAAAUGAGUUUAUGCUGCUUUGUUUUAGGAAGACAAGAGCUUGUCUUCUUCAGUAAUUAUCUCCAGACAAUGCUGGUUGAAUGAUGUGAUAGGCUAAAUGAAAAUGAUAGUUUAUCUCAGGUAAACUAAGCAAUUUUGUUCCAACAUAUUCAAGUCUGAUUAUAAUAAAAGGCUUUGAAUUC